rnacentral:rRNA from 1 species
AACGAACGCUGGCGGCAGGCCUAAUACAUGCAAGUCGAGCGCUCUAGCAAUAGAGAGCGGCGCACGGGUGCGUAACGCGUGGGAAUGUACCUCUAGGUGCGGAACAACGUCGGGAAACUGACGCUAAUACCGCAUAAUAUCUCCGGAUCAAAGAUUUAUCGCCUAGGGAUCAGCCCGCGUUGGAUUAGCUAGUUGGUGAGGUAAUGGCUCACCAAGGCGACGAUCCAUAGCUGGUCUGAGAGGAUGAUCAGCCACACUGGGACUGAGACACGGCCCAGACUCCUACGGGAGGCAGCAGUAAGGAAUAUUGCGCAAUGGAGGCAACUCUGACGCAGCCAUGCCGCGUGCAGGAAGAAGGCGCUACGCGUCGUAAACUGCUUUUACCAGGGAA